UACGUAGGGGGCUAGCGUUGUCCGGAUUUAUUGGGCGUAAAGAGCGUGUAGGCGGCUUUACAGGUCCGUUGUGAAAACUCGAGGCUCAACCUCGAGACGCCGGUGGAAACCGUAAGGCUAGAGUCCGGAAGAGGAGAGUGGAAUUCCUGGUGUAGCGGUGAAAUGCGUAGAUAUCAGGAGGAACACCUGUGGCGAAAGCGGCUCACUGGACCACAACUGACGCUGAGGCGCGAAAGCUAGGGGAGCAAACAGG
rnacentral:rRNA from 1 species